UCUCCGUAGGUGAACCUGCGGAGGGAUCAUUACUGAGUGAGGGCCUCCCCGGCCCGACCUCCAACCCUUUGUGAACACAACUUGUUGCUGCGGGGGCGACCCUGCCGGCACUCGGUCGCCGGGCCCCCCCGAAGGUCUCCCAACACUGCAUCGUUGCGUCGGAGUUUAAAACAAAUUAAACAAAACUUUCAACAACGGAUCUCUUGGUUCUGGCAUCGAUGAAGAACGCAGC
rnacentral:misc_RNA from 1 species